rnacentral:rRNA from 1 species
GAGUUUGAUCAUGGCUCAGAAUCAACGCUGGCGGCAUGCCUAACACAUGCAAGUCGAACGAAUUACCUUCGGGUAGUUAGUGGCGCACGGGUGCGUAACGCGUGGGAAUCUGCCCCUUGGUUCGGAAUAACAGUUGGAAGCGACUGCUAAUACCGGAUGAUGACGUAAGUCCAAAGAUUUAUCGCCGAGGGAUGAGCCCGCGUAGGAUUAGGUAGUUGGUGUGGUAAAGGCGCACCAAGCCGACGAUCCUUAGCUGGUCUGAGAGGAUGAUCAGCCACACUGGGACUGAGACACGGCCCAGACUCAUACGGGAGGCAGCAGUGGGGAAUAUUGGACAAUGGGCGAAAGCCUGAUCCAGCAAUGCCGCGUGAGUGAUGAAGGCCUUAGGGUUGUAAAGCUCUUUUACCCGGGAUGAUAAUGACAGUACCGGGAGAAUAAGCUCCGGCUAACUCCGUGCCAGCAGCCGCGGUAAUACGGAGGGGGCUAGCGUUAUUCGGAAUUACUGGGCGUAAAGCGCACGUAGGCGGCUUUGUAAGUAAGAGGUGAAAGCCCAGAGCUCAACUCUGGAAUUGCCUUUUAGACUGCAUCGCUUGAAUCAUGGAGAGGUCAGUGGAAUUCCGAGUGUAGAGGUGAAAUUCGUAGAUAUUCGGAAGAACACCAGUGGCGAA